ACGCUAGCUACAGGCUUAACACAUGCAAGUCGGGGGGAAACGGCAUUAAGUGCUUGCACUUUUUGGACGUCGACCGGCGCACGGGUGAGUAACGCGUAUCCAACCUUCCCAUGACUAAGGGAUAACCUGCCGAAAGGCAGACUAAUACCUUAUGGUCUUCACUGACGGCAUCAGAUGUGAAGUAAAGAUUUAUCGGUUAUGGAUGGGGAUGCGUCUGAUUAGUUAGUUGGCGGGGUAACGGCCCACCAAGGCAACGAUCAGUAGGGGUUCUGAGAGGAAGGUCCCCCACAUUGGAACUGAGACACGGUCCAAACUCCUACGGGAGGCAGCAGUGAGGAAUAUUGGUCAAUGGGCAAGAGCCUGAACCAGCCAAGUAGCGUGCAGGAUGACGGCCCUAUGGGUUGUAAACUGCUUUUGUAUGGGGAUAAAGUCAAUCACGUGUGAUUGUUUGCAGGUACCAUACGAAUAAGGACCGGCUAAUUCCGUGCCAGCAGCCGCGGUAAUACGGAAGGUCCGGGCGUUAUCCGGAUUUAUUGGGUUUAAAGGGAGCGUAGGCUGGAGAUUAAGUGUGUUGUGAAAUGUAGACGCUCAACGUCUGACUUGCAGCGCAUACUGGUUUCCUUGAGUACGCACAACGUUGGCGGAAUUCGUCGUGUAGCGGUGAAAUGCUUAGAUAUGACGAAGAACUCCGAUUGCGAAGGCAGCUGACGGGAGCGCAACUGACGCUGAAGCUCGAAGGUGCGGGUAUCGAACAGGAUUAGAUACCCUGGUAGUCCGCACAGUAAACGAUGGAUGCCCGCUGUCGGUACUUGGUAUCAGCGGCUAAGCGAAAGCAUUAAGCAUCCCACCUGGGGAGUACGCCGGCAACGGUGAAACUCAAAGGAAUUGACGGGGGCCCGCACAAGCGGAGG
rnacentral:rRNA from 1 species